CAGGGGUUUGAUCCUGGCUCAGAACGAACGCUGGCGGCAGGCUUAACACAUGCAAGUCGCAACGUGAAGCAGGAGCUUGCUCCUGCGGAAAGUGGCAGACGGGUGAGUAUCGCGUGGGAAUUUACCCAGUGGUUCAGAAUAACUUCAGGAAACCGGAGCUAAUACCGAAUACGCCCUUCGGGGGAAAGAUUUAUCGCCAUUGGAUGAGCCCGCGUCGGAUUAGCUUGUUGGUGAGGUAAAAGCUCACCAAGGCGACGAUCCGUAGCUGGUCUGAGAGGAUGAUCAGCCACACUGGGACUGAGACACGGCCCAGACUCCUACGGGAGGCAGCAGUGGGGAAUAUUGCGCAAUGGAGGAAACUCUGACGCAGCCAUGCCGCGUGAGUGAAGAAGGCCUUAGGG
rnacentral:rRNA from 1 species